GCCGAAGCUGUACUUGGAUGGGAGACCGCCUGGGAAUACCAGGU
rnacentral:rRNA from 12 species